rnacentral:lncRNA from 1 species
AUGCGUGGAACGACCGGCGCUACUCCAGCGCCGGGCAGCCUCGGGGCCGCGCAGCCACUGCCCGGCGGCGGAGCAGGCCCAGCGGGAGGCGGGGAGGGCCGAGGGGGCGGGGAAGCGCUGCGGGCAGAACGCGAGGCCCGGCCGCGGGAGAGGGACCAAGCUGGAACCCGAGCGCCGCGGAGCAGCCGAAAGAAGCGCCCCGCCAGCCCCGUUACCUGCACGCUCCUCCCCCGCGGGCACGCUGCCGGCGUGCAGCCUUCACAACAAAGCCCGAGAGCUGCGGCUGCGGCAGGAGGAGGACCGAACGCGCCGCCCCCGCGAGCUUGCAGAGCGCAAGGGCCGGCGGCGGGGCCGCGGUCCGAGGGCGGGGCCCAGCGGCGCGGCGCGGCACAGCACAGCACAGCUGCGGGGCUGGCUCGGGACUCGGGCCGGGCGGUGCAGGGCGAGGCGAGGCGAGGCGAGGCGAGGCGAGGCAGCUGGCGCCGCCGUGCGGGCGGGAGAGGCGGCGCAAGGCCGAGGAGGGGUUAGCGCUGGAGUGCUACCCAGGCUGCCGAGGAGCGGUAUUCCCCGCCUAUGGAAAGAGAAGCUCUGCCAAGGCGAUGGAGGAGAAUGGAGAACCGCAUGUAUGGGUUUGGGAAGAGGCCGUGUGGAAAUGGGAUUAAGCCUGGAAGUGCUUUGGGAAACCUGCACAAUGGGAACGCUGCCUAUUGAGGGGGAGCAGGGAGGGAGAACUGCAAUAUAUGAGAGAAUUUUAGCAAGAGAAUUUAAUAGUGCUGGGGUCAAUAGAUUUGGGUUUUAAAUACAAGCAGAUUUUUAUUAAACCUUUUAAUUGGAGUGACACCUUGUGCAGACAACAACUCUAUCCAAACAGCUUCUUCAUCUGAUCAUCUCCAAAUUUUCUUGACUGUUGAACAACUCCAGCAAGUCUAGCUUAAUACCAGAUUUGCUAUUUGUAUUAAAAGAGCAUUGCAUAGUGAGAUCUACAUCCCUAUAACAAGUGAAGUAGUGAUGUUUCAGCAUCUGGUUUUUGUUGAUACCAAACAGUGGAGACUUGGUGAUCCUGCUGUAUUUAAUUGAGCCACAGUCUCAAAGAGCAAAACCAAGGGAACUAAUGCUAAUGUUAAUGAAACAUUGAAGUUGAGAUUUUAACUACUUAAAUGUCAUCACAUUGGAAGUUCUUUAAUUUUAGGAAGUUAUUCUGUACUCCCAGAGCAAUUUCCAUUCUGCUCUUACAGAUAUCAAAGAAUUCAAGUUACUGUUUGUUUGCUAGUGCAUGCAAAUUAUAUAACUGAAUAUUAUACCUGAAUUUUAUUGCUUCAUUAACUCUUUUGUGUAUAUUUUGUAUGUUCUCAUAUUUUACAGUAGCAAUAAAAACUUUUCCCUUUGUUCUAAAUUAUUGAAG